ensembl:snRNA U6 U6 spliceosomal RNA
UUGCUUUGGCAGCACACAUACUGAAAUUGGAAUGACGCAGAGAAGAUUAGCAUGACUCUGUGCAAGGACGACAUGCAAAUUCGUGCAGUGGUCCAUAUUUAA